UGGAGAAACUCUUGCGCUGACCGAACCAUUGUGUCCACAGGGGGAGAAGGGCAAGAAGGGCAAAAAGGGGCCUAAGGGGGAGAAAGGAGAACAGGGUGCCCCUGGAUUAGAUGCACCCUGCCCGUUGGGUCCAGAUGGCCUACCCAUGCCAGGAUGCUGGCAGAAGUGAUUGGUCUAACUCAAACCGCAUGGAGUUUGUAAAUACUGCUUUGUUUUUAUUUUGUAUUUAUAGUUUUUUAUUUGAGAAGAUACUACAGAGAGAAUAGAAUGAAUAUAUUAUGUGUACACGAAGAGAAGGCGCA